rnacentral:rRNA from 1 species
CCUACGGGCGGCAGCAGUGGGGAAUAUUGGACAAUGGGGGGAACCCUGAUCCAGCCAUGCCGCGUGUGUGAAGAAGGCCCUCGGGUUGUAAAGCACUUUCAGUGAGGAAGAACGCCUGGUGGUUAAUACCCAUCAGGAAAGACAUCACUCACAGAAGAAGCACCGGCUAACUCCGUGCCAGCAGCCGCGGUAAUACGGAGGGUGCGAGCGUUAAUCGGAAUUACUGGGCGUAAAGCGUGCGUAGGUGGCUUGAUAAGCCGGUUGUGAAAGCCCCGGGCUCAACCUGGGAACGGCAUCCGGAACUGUCAAGCUAGAGUGCAGGAGAGGAAGGUAGAAUUCCCGGUGUAGCGGUGAAAUGCGUAGAGAUCGGGAGGAAUACCAGUGGCGAAGGCGGCCUUCUGGACUGACACUGACACUGAGGUGCGAAAGCGUGGGUAGCAAACAGGAUUAGAUACCCCGGUAGUC